AUCCUUCGUAGUUCAUACGAAUGAUGAGUGGGAGUUCAUGUGUCUGCAUGAGAUAUGCCGCCUUGUUUACCUUGUUACAACUGGCAUAUUACCCUUCUGACC